rnacentral:rRNA from 1 species
ACGCUGGCGGCACGCCUAACACAUGCAAGUCGAACGAAGUAGCAAUACUUAGUGGCAGACGGGUGAGUAACAUGUAGGUAUCUGCCCUUUGGCCUGGAAUAACACGAGGAAACUUGUGCUAAUACCGGAUAAGUCUUUACGGAGAAAGCUUUAUGCACCAUUGGAUGAGCCUGCACUUGAUUAGUUUGUUGGUGGGGUAAUGGCCUACCAAGACUGUGAUCAAUAGCUGAUUUGAGAGGAUGAUCAGCCACAUUGGGACUGAGACACGGCCCAAACUCCUACGGGAGGCAGCAGUGGGGAAUCUUGCACAAUGGAGGAAACUCUGAUGCAGCGAUGCCGCGUGAGUGAAGAAGGCCCUUGGGUUGUAAAGCUCUUUCGUCGGGGAAGAAAAUGACUGUACCCGAAUAAGAAGGUCCGGCUAACUUCGUGCCAGCAGCCGCGGUAAUACGAAGGGACCUAGCGUAGUUCGGAAUUACUGGGCUUAAAGAGUUCGUAGGUGGUUGAAAAAGUUAGUGGUGAAAUCCCAGAGCUUAACUCUGGAACUGCCAUUAAAACUUUUCAGCUAGAGUAUGAUAGAGGAAAGCAGAAUUUCUAGUGUAGAGGUGAAAUUCGUAGAUAUUAGAAAGAAUACCAAUUGCGAAGGCAGCUUUCUGGAUCAUUACUGACACUGAGGAACGAAAGCAUGGGUAGCGAAGAGGAUUAGAUACCCUCGUAGUCCAUGCCGUAAACGAUGUGUGUUAGACGUUGGAAAUUUAUUUUCAGUGUCGCAGCGAAAGCGAUAAACACACCGCCUGGGGAGUACGACCGCAAGGUUAAAACUCAAAUGAAUUGACGGGGACCCGCACAAGUAGUGGAGCAUGUGGUUUAAUUCGAAGAUACGCGCAGAACCUUACCAACACUUGACAUGUUCGUCGCGACUCUAAGAGAUUAGAGUUUUCGGUUCGGCCGGACGAAACACAGGUGCUGCAUGGCUGUCGUCAGCUCGUGUCGUGAGAUGUUGGGUUAAGUCCCGCAACGAGCGCAACCCUCACUUUUAGUUGCCAUCAUUAAGUUGGGCACUCUGAAAGAACUGCCAGUGAUAAGCUGGAGGAAGGUGGGGAUGACGUCAAGUCCUCAUGGCCCUUACGUGUUGGGCUACACACGUGCUACAAUGGUAUCUACAACAGGAAGCAAGACUGCGAAGUUAAGCAAAUCCCUAAAAGAUACCUCAGUUCGGAUUGCACUCUGCAACUCGAGUGCAUGAAGCUGGAAUUACUAGUAAUCGUGGAUCAGCGUGCCACGGUGAAUGCGUUCCCGGGUCUUGUACACACCGCCCGUCA